rnacentral:lncRNA from 1 species
ACAAAUCUCUUAUGUCAUGGCUUUUCGGAUUAAUUUCGAUCAUCGUUUUCAGCUUACAAGGUAAGCUAAUAUGUUUCUCUCUUCUUUAUCAAUUGAAUGCUUUUUCUUUUUUAUGUGAUUAAAACUAGAAAUAGAAAAAGAAGCUUGAAUUCAUGGGUUUUAUUGUAUUUUGGGUAUGUCAUUUAUGAAAUAGAAUGCUAUGUCAUGAAUCUUUUAUUGAUUAGAUUGUAAAUGCAUGUCUGUUUGGGAUGUUUAAUUUGUGUUAUGUUAUUUGGUUAUGCACACAAGGUGUUUGAGGAAAUGUCUGUGAAUGAAUUUUGGUGUUUUUACUCAAUGAGAGCGCAGUGGACCUUGAUGUGCUAGCGAGGGCUGACCUUCUCAAGUUCUUAAGUAAGGAAUGUGAGGAAAGAGAUGCUACACGCUGCAAAGAGAUGCACAUUAAAGAUGAAAGCUUAAGAAAUACGAAAUUCUGCCCAGAUUUUCAGUCAAAUUCGACUGCAAAUUGGGAGCAGCUCAUAGUGAUCCAAAAAACUUGCCUUAUAUCAACGGAAAGNN